AGAAAGAGUCAUCACUUAAUGACACGUUUGGGUGCUAAGCUUAGUUGUUAAGACAGAAGUAGAGUCCCACAUCGACCAUGUAAAAGAAAUAUUUAAUGUAUUUAUAGUCCAAGCUCGGGUCUUCAGUGCACGACCUUACUUGAACAGGAUCUGUUCUAUAGGCUCGUACCUCUGUAUCCUUGACUUCUAAGGAGACAGGAAACCAAACCUGGUGGAUGAACCAUGACCGUCCGAUCAGAGCGUGAUUAACGGCUAGAUAAUCUUCGGAUCAUCACGGCUGUAGAGGAUCGUUCUCAGUUAGUUCUCUAGCUGGGGUGGUCGGUCGGUUGUCUGACAGGUUCUAAUAUCUUUUUUUUUUUUUUUUGCAUGUUUUUAUUAGUAAAUUUUCAUGAACAACAGAGGAAUUAAGAGGUUAUUGUUUUCAUUUGAUUUCUCCUUAAUAAAUAUAGUUUUAGUCUCAUCACCCCCAAGUUAAGAUAAGAUGUCUAGUAAGACCUGUAAACAACAACAAUAAUUUCCAAAUCACAUGUCUAGUGUAAGUGUGUAACUUGGUCCAAACCAUAUUACAAACUAACCAAACUUCACUAUAAUUUCCUUACUGGUCAGAUACCUUUACAAAGAAAAAAUAAAAUGAAAAAUAGUUUCUAAUCAAAUUUGUGGAAAAUAUUUUCUUUUCUUGCAUGAUUAACAAGUAUGAAAAGAAGACCUCUAUACCAGCUUCUAAGAGCAAUACCCUUUAGCCUAUUUUAAGUUCCUAUUUGAGAUUAAGAUAAUUCUGAAGCUGCAAAAAUGUUACCAAAGAAAGAAAGAGCAAUGAAUUAUAUAAAAUAUUAAACCAAUAUUAUAUUAUCAUUGAAUAAAGACAAAAUACAAAAACAAUUUUCUAUUGCAGUUAGAUUAAUAUUGUAUCCCACAUUGAUAAGCUGCAUAGAAUAAAUAGUGGUCUUUAGGCUCGUACUUCUGUUUCCUUGAUUUCUAAGGAGACAGGAAACCAACCCUGGUGAAUGAACCAUGACCGUUCGAUCAGAGCGUGAUUAAUGGCUAGAUCUUCUUCAGAAAAUUACGGCUGUAGAGGAUCGUUCAGCUAGUUCUUCUAAGCCAGGGUGGUUGAACGGUUGUCUGACAGGUUCCAAUCUUCUUACUUAUUUUUUUAGUUAAUUUUUUUCAUUAACAACUGAGGAUUUAAGAGGCUCUUCUGGUCUUAGGAUCACACAAUUCAGAGUACAACUCAUUUGGUUUCUCUUCUGUUGCUUAUUGUUGAAAUAAAUUCCUCUUUAAUGAAAUUUUCAUGAUCACCAUUAAACUGUAAUAUAUUAGCUUUGAGAAGAUCUACGCCAAUAUGGCUUUGCUUGUUGUAGUUAAGUUAGUUCAUAAAGCUCGGACUUUAAACUUCAAACUAUUUGGGGAACAAGACUUAUUUAAUAAAACGUUUAUGACCAAAGCAAGCAAUGUAUGCUUAGCUAUAUCUGGUUUCAUUUUUGCCUCGUUAAAACUAAGCAUAAUGUCUUGUGGGAUUUUCUGCCUCGAUAGGCUUUUCUUGUGCAAUUUUCAUUUCUUAAUGUAUUGAUGUUUGUGUUUGUGUUUGUGUUUAAAUGUUGUACAGAUGGAUCUGUGUACCUUCAGGAGUAGCUGUUAUCUUCAGUUUUGGUUCUUGUUAAUGCAGUAGAGUUCUGUUUGGUACUAGAGAAACAUUUAGUUGUUUUUACCUUUUGAAUUGAAGCCAAUUGAUAACACUGUUGUAAAAGCAUGAGAAUUGAAACUAUUGUUAAAAUAAAUCAAAUCAUGUUGGAACAUUAUUUAUGAUGAUUCCUUUAUAUCCCCUAAAUAAUUUCUGAAGUGUUGUGUGUUUACUAUAAUUUAAUUGGCACAAAUGAUUAUAUUCGAAUAUUUUUCACAACCAAAGAGAUUGAUAUAUAUAUAUACAUAAUAAUCCAUGGUUGCUUGCAUUUGUUUUAUGUGAAUUUAUAUACGUAGUUGUCAUAAGAUUAAUAAUCACUUAAUAAUGAGUAAUCACUUAAUCACACACAUCUGGAUGCUUAGUUGUUACUGGAGUCCCACAUCGACCAUGUAAAAGAAAUAUUUAAUGUAUUUAUAGUCCAACCUGUAGCCUUCAGUGCACGACCUUACUUGAACAGGAUCUGUUCUAUAGGCUCGUACCUCUGUUUCCUUGAGUUCUAAGGAGACAGGAAACCAAACCUGGUGGAUAAACUAUGGCCGUCCGAUCAGAGCGUGAUUAACGGUUAGAUGAUCUUUGGAUCAUCACGGCUGUAGAGGAGCGUUCUCAGCUAGUUCUCAAGCUGGGGUGGUCGGUCGGUUGUCUGACAGGUUCUAAUCUUUUGUUCUUUUUUUUUUUGGGCAUGUUUAUUAGUUAAUUUUCAUUGACAACUGAUGAUUAAGAUGUUCUUCUUCUGAUCUUAGCUGGUGUUUGAGUGUAAACUGUUAUUGCAGGUUUGUGGAAUAGAAGAGGCCAAAUUUGUGCAUGAAGAUAUGUUGGGGUCACAAUCCUCUCUUCAAGUAAAGAGAAUCCUUGAGACUUAUUCAAGUUAAGAUGUUUCUUUAAUUAAAGACUUGUGUAACAAACAACAACAAGUAAGUAUCAACAAUCCCACAAAUCCGAAUACUCUACUCUUCAUUCGAUAAUUUUUACAAAAUGGAUAGUCUAAAAUAAUAUUUGAAUGAACAAACAAAUUUAGCACAAAAUUCUACGUACCUAGAUAUUUGACUAGAACUACGUGUACAUCACUAUUAUUUUAGCAGUUGGAUGCUCAUAAAUUAUGUUAGACAAUUUCCUCCGUCUAUAUUUGACUAGAAAUACUCACAAUAAUUUAAAGUUGACUGAGAAUAAUGCUCACAUAUUAUAUAUAGAUUGAGAUUUGAGAUUGAUCUAAAGAAUAUUAUUAUUAGGGUUGUGUUGUUUUAAUAUGAAUAUGGGAAAAUCCUAUGUCAUUAAUAUGCUCUCAAUGUUAGUACUACUUAAUCUUGCUAUGAUCACUUUGCUCCCUUAUGCACAUGCACGUCACAAAUUUCCACCACCCCCACCCCCACCAAUUAGAAGUCCGAUGAACUCCCCCUCCCCCGUCAGCCCCAUCCCAAAACCGACACCGCCACCGCCACCGCCGCUACAGAAGAAGUCAGCAAGAUCAUACUCAGCUUUAUCACCACAGGGCUUCUAAGAGUAUUUUCACUUUUUUUUUAGGACUAUACUAUUGUGAAAUGAAAUUUUCUUUAAUAAAUUUCAGGCUUUGUUUUCAGUCUAUUUAAAAAAAAUAUAUAAAAUAUUAAACCAAUAUUAUAGUAUCAUUGAAUAAAGACAAAAUACAAAAACAAUUUUCUAUUGCAGUUAGAUUGAUAUUGUAUCCUACAUCGAUAAGCUGAACAGAAUAAGUAGUGUUCUUAUACUGAAGCAUGAACGGGAUCUGUUCUAUAGGCUCGUACUUCUGUUUCCUUGAUUUCUAAGGAGACAGGAAACCAACCCUGGUGGAUGAACCAUGACCGUUCGAUCAGAGUGUGAUUAAUGGCUAGAUCUUCUUCAGAAGAUUACGGCUGUAGAGGAUCGUUCUCAGCUAGUUCUUCUAGCCGGGGUGGUUGAUCGGUUGUCUGACAAGUUCCAAUCUUUUUACUUUUUUUUUUAGUUAAUCUGGUCUUAGGAGAACACAAUUCAGAGUACAACUCAUUUGGUUUCUGUUCUAUUGCUUAUUGUUGAAAUAAAUUCCUCUUUAAUGAAAUUUUCAUAAUCUAUUAGCUUUGAGAAGAUGCUGAGAAUUAUAAGAUCUACGCCAAUAUGGCUUUGCUUGUUGUAGUUAAGUUAGUUCAUAAAGCUCAGACUUUAAACUUCAAACUAUUUGGGGAGCAAGACUUAUUUAAUAAAACCUUUAUGACCAAAGCAAACAAUGUAUGCUUAGCUAUGUCUUGUGGGAUUUUCUGCCUCGAUAGGCUUUUCUUGUGCAAUUUUCAUUUCUUAAUGUAUUGUUGUUUGUGUUUAAAUAUUGUACAGAUGGAUCUGUGUACCUUCAGGACUAGCUGUUAUCUUCAGUUUUGGUUCUUGUUAAUGUAGUAGAGUUUUAGGUGUUUAAACUAUUGUUCUAAGUCUCAAUUUAGAAUGAGAAAGUCAAAUCAUUUUGGAACAUUAUAUAUGAUGAUUACUUUAUAUCGCCUAAAUAAUUUCUAAAGUGCUGUGUGUUUCUCUGUUUUCUGAUGUUAAAAUACUAUAAUUUAAUUGGCACAAAUGAUUAUAUUCGAAUAUUUUUCACAACCAAAAGAGAUUAAUAUAUAUAAUAUAUAAUAAUCCAUGGUUGCUUGCAGUUGUUUUAUGUGAAUUAAUAUACGUAAUUGUCUUAAGAUUAAACACACUUUUACAUGUUAUAUAUUUUAGUACAAAACCCAAAUAAUAAUGAGUAAUCACUUAAUCACACACAUCUGGAUGCUUAGUUGUUACUAGAGUCCCACAUCGACCAUGUAAAAGAAAUAUUUGAUGUAUUUAUAGUCCAACCUGUGGUCUUCAGUGCACGACCUUACUUGAACAGGAUCUGUUCUAUAGGCUCGUACCUCUGUUUCCUUGAGUUCUAAGGAGACAGGAAACCAAACCUGGUGGAUGAACUAUGGCCGUCCGAUCAGAGCGUGAUUAACGGUUCGAUGAUCUUUGGAUCAUCACGGCUGUAGAGGAUCGUUCUCAGCUAGUUCUCUAGCUGGGGUGGUCGGUCGGUUGUCUGACAGGUUUGUGGAAUAGAAGAGGCCAAAUUUGUCCAUCAACAUAUGUUGGGGUCACAAUCCUCUCUUCAAGUAAAGAGAAUCCUUGAGAUGUGGCUCUAUGUAUAGUUUAUAUGUUGAAGAAAAUGAGAACAUAAAGCAACAAUCUUCAACGUGGUAAA